rnacentral:rRNA from 1 species
GUACACGCUGUGACUAGCAUAUCAAUAAGCGGAGGAAAAGAAACUAACAAGGAUUCCCCUAGUAACGGCGAAUGAAGCGGGAAGAGCUCAAAUUUGAAAUCUUAAAGGGUUUCCCUUUACGAAUUGUAGUUUAAAGAAGUGUUUUCUGUUGAGGUUUUGGUAAAAGUUCUUUGGAAUAGGACAUCAUAGAGGGUGAGAAUCCCGUAUUUGACCUUUACUUUCAACUUUGUGAUACACUUUCAAAGAGUCGGAUUGUUUGGGAAUGCAGUCCAAAAUGGGUGGUAAAUUUCAUCUAAAGCUAAAUAUUGGCGAGAGACCGAUAGCGAACAAGUACCGUGAGGGAAAGAUGAAAAGAACUUUGAAAAGAGAGUUAAACAGUACGUGAAAUUGUCAAAAGGGAAGCGUUUGACACCAGUGUUGUUUUUCUGAAAAUCAAUUAAAGAACUGUUUAUGCUAAGCUGUUUAGACUUUAUCAGCUAUCUGUUUAGUUUUGAGCUUUUCUUUAAUGCACUUUUCAGUUAACAAGUCAACAUCAAUUUCUUUUGCUGUAAAAAAGCUUGAGGAAGGUGGCUUGAGAUUCGUCUUAAGUGUUUAUAGCCUCUUGCCUAUGCAGUCGGAGAGAUUGAGGUCUGCAGCGUAGAUCCUUCGGGGCUAAAUGCAUUUGUGCUAAGUUAUAGCAUUUUAUAGACAACUUGUUGACUAUGAUUUGUCUUGUAGCUUACUCGCUUAUGUUAUUUUACCUACGCUUAGGAUGUUGAAGAUGUAGCACAUCAU